CCUGGGAACUGCGUUNUGAACUGGGUGACUAGAGUGUNUCAGAGGGAGGUAGAAUUCCACGUGUAGCAGUGAAAUGCGUAGAGAUGUGGAGGAAUACCGAUGGCGAAGGCAGCCUCCUGGGAUAACACUGACGUUCAUGCUNGAAAGCGUGGGUAGCAAACAGGAUUAGAUACCCUGGUAGUCCACGCCCUAAACGAUGUCAAUUAGCUGUUGGGCAACUUGAUUGCUUAGUAGCGUAGCUAACGCGUGAAAUUGACCGCCUGGGGAGUACGGUCGCAAGAUUAAAACUCAAAGGAAUUGACGGGGACCCGCACAAGCGGUGGAUGAUGUGGAUUAAUUCGAUGCAACGCGAAGAACCUUACCUGGUCUUGACAUGUACGGAAUCCUCCAGAGACGGAGGAGUGCCUUCGGGAGCCGUAACACAGGUGCUGCAUGGCUGUCGUCAGCUCGUGUCGUGAGAUGUUGGGUUAAGUCCCGCAACGAGCGCAACCCUUGUCAUUAGUUGCCAUCAUUUAGUUGGGCACUCUAAUGAGACUGCCGGUGACAAGCCGGAGGAAGGUGGGGAUGACGUCAAGUCCUCAUGGCCCUUAUGACCAGGGCUUCACACGUCAUACAAUGGUCGGUACAGAGGGUAGCCAAGCCGCGAGGUGGAGCCAAUCUCACAAAACCGAUCGUAGUCCGGAUUGCACUCUGCAACUCGAGUGCAUGAAGUCGGAAUCGCUAGUAAUCGCAGGUCAGCAUACUGCGGUGAAUACGUUCCCGGGUCUUGUACACACCGCCCGUCACACCAUGGGAGUGGGGGAUACCAGAAGUAGGUAGGGUAACCGCA
rnacentral:rRNA from 1 species